CGCUCUGGUGGCCUAGUGGUUAGAGUGCCCGCAUCAGAUGUGGAUGGUCGUGGGUUCGAACCCCGGCCGAGUGA